AUUGAACGCUGGCGGCAGGCCUAACACAUGCAAGUCGCACGAGUGGCGGACGGGUGAGUAAUGUCUGGGAAACUGCCUGAUGGAGGGGGAUAACUACUGGAAACGGUAGCUAAUACCGCAUACCAUCAGAUGUGCCCAGAUGGGAUUAGCUUGUUGGUGGGGUAACGGCUCACCAAGGCGACGAUCCCUAGCUGGUCUGAGAGGAGGACCAGCCAAACGGGAACUGAGACACGGUCCAGACCCCUACGGGAUGCAGCAGGGGUGAAUAGUGCAGAAGGGGCGCAAGCCUGAUGCAGCCAGGCCGCGUGUAUGAAGAAGGCCUUCGGGUUUUAAAGUACUUUCAGCGGGGAGGCGUUACCCGCAGAAGAAGCACCGGCGAACUCCGUGCCAGCAGCCGCGGGAGUC
rnacentral:rRNA from 1 species